rnacentral:rRNA from 1 species
CCUACGGGGGGCAGCAGUGGGGAAUAUUGGGCAAUGGGCGCAAGCCUGACCCAGCAACGCCGCGUGAAGGAAGAAGGCUCUCGGGUUGUAAACCUCUUUUAAGGGGGAAGAGCAGAAGACGGUACCCCUUGAAUAAGCCACGGCUAACUACGUGCCAGCAGCCGCGGUAAUACGUAGGUGGCACGCGUUGUCCGGAUUUACUGGGUGUAAAGGGCGUGCAGCCGGAGAGACAAGUCAGAUGUGAAAUCCACGGGCUCAACCCGUGAACUGCAUUUGAAACUGUUUCCCUUGAGUGUCGGAGGGGUAGGCGGAAUUCCUGGUGUAGCGGUGAAAUGCGUAGAUAUAAGGAAGAACACCAGUGGCGAAGGCGGAUUACUGGACGGUAACUGACGGUGAGGCGCGAAAGCGUGGGGAGCAAACAGGAUUAGAUACCCGUGUAGUC